rnacentral:rRNA from 1 species
UCCUACGGGAGGCAGCAGUGGGGAAUAUUGGACAAUGGGCGAAAGCCUGAUCCAGCCAUGCCGCGUGUGUGAAGAAGGUCUUCGGAUUGUAAAGCACUUUAAGUUGGGAGGAAGGGCAGUAAGCGAAUACCUUGCUGUUUUGACGUUACCGACAGAAUAAGCACCGGCUAACUCUGUGCCAGCAGCCGCGGUAAU